rnacentral:rRNA from 1 species
AUUGAACGCUGGCGGCAGGCCUAACACAUGCAAGUCGAGCGAGCGGCGGACGGGUGAGAAAUGUAUGGGGAUCUGCCCGAUAGAGGGGGAUAACUACUGGAAACGGUGGUUAUUACCGCAUACUAUCGGUUGAAACCAUAUGGGAUUAGCGAGUAGGUGGGGUAAAGGCUCACCUAGGCGACGAUCUCUAGCUGGUCUGAGAGGAUGACCAGCCACACUGGGACUGAGACGCGGCCCAGACUCCGACGGGAGGCAGCAGUGGGGAAUAUUACACAAUGGGCGGAAGCCUGAUGCAGCCAUGCCGGGUGUAUGAAGAAGGCCUUAGGGUUGUAAAGGACUUUCAGCGGAGAGGCGUUACCCACAGAAGAAGCACCGGCUAACUCCGUGCCAGCAGCCGCGGUAAUAC